rnacentral:misc_RNA from 1 species
AACCAGCGAUCAAUAAUGUACCAGAGUUACCUAAAAAUGAAACUGAAAACAUUGAAAAGGGUUGUUCCUGUAAAGAAUCAGAACAUAAAUCAAAAGGAUCUGGAUGUAUAUACCAUGUACCAAAAGAUCCACAUGCACCAAUGUCUAAGCAGUGUUAUAAAUGUAGUCAGAAAAAAUCUGAAGCAAACGGAUAUGUGUAUGAGGUACCGAAAAAUACCCCAGACAAUACUGCACAAGAUGACUUAAAAAAGACACAACCUUUACCCAACAAAUGUCAAAAAGAUAGCUGUAGCUGUAAACAAUCAGAAUAUAAAUUAAAAGGGCCUGGUUUUAUUUACGAUGUACCAAAACAUGCACCCACGUCUCGGCAAGGUUGUAAAUGUAGUGAAUCCACGAAAAUAAAAUCUGAAGCACAUGGAUAUGUGUAUGAUAUACCAAAACAAGUGAAACCGAAAACAUGCCAGUGCAAAGAGUCAUCAGCAUAUAAACCUACUACAGUUGCGCAAGAUAUUUUAAAAAACAUAGUUGAUACGCAGGCAAGUGCAGUUGAAUCGUUAACAAAUAAAUGUCAGAAAACUAGCUGCAAUUGUAAAGAAUCUCAAUAUAAAUUAAAGGGGCCGGGCUUUAUAUACGAUGUACCAAAACAACCGUAUGGGCCAACGUCAUUUCAAGUUUGUAAGUGUAGUAAGUUGGCCAAAACCAAAUCUGAACCACAAGGGUAUGAGGUACCAAACUAUAAACCAACCAAAGUCGCGCAAGAAAUUUUCGACAACAUUAUUGGCACACAGGCAAGUGCGAUUGGACCGUUAACGAAUAAAUGCCAAAAAAUAUAUUGUAGUUGUAAAGAAUCGGAAUAUAAAUUAAAAGGACCUGGAUUCAUUUACGAUGUUACAAAAUGUCCACAUGAAGCAAUAUCAGCAAAAAAUAAACCUGAAUUAAAUAAAUAUGUCUUUGAAGUACAGAAACAUAUGAAACAAGCGUCGGGAGAUAAACAAAAAACAUGUCAGUGCAGAGAGUCAUCAAAAAAUAAAUUGGAUACCACACAAAUCCACAACUCAAGUAGUCAUUUAAACUCACCAAAACGUAAAUCAGAUGCACCUGGAUACAUAUAUGAGGUACCGAAGUAUCCUUCUAAAUCAGAGAAAACCCCUUGCGUGUGCCGUCAAAAAAGUCAUUCUGAUUCACGUGGAUAUAUUUAUGACGUUCGACACGUCACAAAUAUAUCACAAAAACCAAGAAAUGAAUCCGGCUCACAAACAAAUGCGACUGGAUCGUUGCCCAAUAAAUGUCAACAAGGUAGCGGUAGCUGUGGCUGUAAGGAGUCAGAAUAUAAAUUAAAAGGUCCUGGAUUUAUAUACGAUGUACCAAAACAUGCACCCACGUCUCGGCAAGGUUGUAAAUGUAGGGAAUCAGCGAAAAUAACACCUGAAACGCAUGGAUAUAUUUUUGAUGUACCAAAACCUGUGAAACUGAAAACAUGCCAGUGCAAGGAGUCAUCAGCGGGACAUAAUACUACAACGCAAGAACAAUCAAAUACCACACAAAUAUACAGCAUAAAUAGGCUAGAAACACAAUUCAUUGUAUCUGAUAUUCAUCACAAUUUUAACAAAAAAAGUUGUAACUGUAGCAAAUCUUCAAAAUCUAAAUCAGAAUUAUCUCAACAAAUAUUUGAGGUACCGAAGUAUACUUCUAAAUCAAAGAAAAAGAGUUGCCAGUGCGGUCCAACAUAUAAAAGAAAAUCCGAAUCACAUGGAUAUGUUUAUGAGGUAACGAAAUAUAAACCAACAAAAACUGCACAAGAAAUUUUCAAAAAUAUACUCGGAACACAAGCUCGUGCGAUCGGAUUGUUACCGAAUAAAUGCCGAAAAAAUAAUUGUAAGAAAUCUGAAUACAAAUUAAAAGGACCUGGAUUUGUUUACGACGUACCAAAAUAUCCACGUAAGCCAACAUCACGGAAAAGCUAUGAGAGCAGUGACUCAGCUAAAUUGAAAUCUGAAUCACAUGGAUAUAUUUAUGAGGUACCAAGAUAUAUGAAAGAACAAUCUGGCGAUGAUCAGAAAAGAUGCGCGUGCAGAGGUCCACCAAAAAUACAAUUUCGAUCAUCGGAAUAUAGUGAAUAUCAAAAGUAUAAUAUGACAUCGCGAGAACCGUGUAAUACCACACAAAUAUUCAGCAUUAAUAGACUAGAAACACAAUACGCAGCAUAUAACGCCAUUUGCAAUAUGAAUAAAAAACUUUGUACUUGUCAUGCCCCAGAAAAACAAAAACCUGAAUUAGCUGGAUACAUAUAUGACGUACCUAAGAAUGUAAAUUCUAAAUCAGAGAAGAGCAAUUGCGAGUGCAGCCCCACAGAAAAAAGGGAAUCUGAAUCACAUGGGUAUGUGUAUGAGGUACCGAAAUAUGAACCAAAUAAAAAUGGAACAAAUGCAUUUCGAAACCAAGACAGAACACAAGUAAGUUGCGAAUGUAAAACAGUAAUAGGAUCUGGAUUUGUACACGAUCUGCCAAGACAUCCUGAUGCACCAACGACACGAAAAAGUUGUGAAUGUACUAAUUCAGCGAAUCAGCGAAAUAAAUCUGAAUCUCACGGAUACAUCUAUGAAGUACCGAAGAAUUCUCGUAAUGAGUCUUCAGAUAAUAAAACUAAAUUAUCUACCAACAAAAAGACAUGUGAGUGCAAAGAACCUACCAAAAGUAAACCUGAAUCAUUUGGAUAUGAAUUCACAUACAUGAAAAGUAAGCUCUGUUCAGAAGAUGUAAUAAAAUUAAUAAAUAAACAAAAACAAACAAUUGAAUCACUGUCCAAUCAAUAUAAGAACAGCAGCAGUGAUGGUUUAACAUCAAAAGAUAAAUCUCUGUGCGGUUGUAAUAACUCAAGUAGAUAUAAAUCUAAUAGUAAUGCACAAGACUUAUUCAAAGAUAUACUCGAAAUACAGAAAAAUGCAAUUGAAACACUGACUAAUAAAUAUCACAAGAAAAACUGUGAUUGUAAUGUUUGUAAGAAAAAUGAAUUAGAGUCAUCUGGUUUUAUAUACGAGCUACCGAAAUUGGCUCAUGUAUCAACAGUACAAGAAAAUAAUUGCGAAUGCGCUGAAUCCUCAAAGCAAAUAUCAGAUUCACCUCGGUACGAAGUCGAUUUAACGAAAGAAAGCUGCGUGUGCAGUGCCGACAAUGAAUAUGAAGCCACUAAAAGUUCACAAAUUGUUGAAUCAAAAAGUAUUCCACCUGAAUCACAAAACAAUUGUAAACAGAUGUUGUGUACACAGACAGAAACAGCUAAACUUUCUAAUUUAAUACUCAAAGACAAUGUACCAUGUAACGACAAGAGAUCAUCAAAAGAUAAUUUAGAAUUAAAUAACUGUCCAUGUGUACCAUUAAACGCAAACAAUGCACCACCAACGGAAACGAACAAUGAUGCCGCGCAAUGCAAUACAGGAAAAGCAAUGCUAAGUGCAGAAGUGAUGGAUGUGCCAUACACAGAAUUUAACGCCUCAGUAGCAUGCGCAAAAUCAGACUCGUCUAACAAAUUGAAAAAAUUAACAAAAUACGAUAUAUUUAAAAGAAUCAAAGAAGCAUACAAAGCAUGCAGUUGCAAAGUUUGCGAAUGCAUUGCUGGAAAACCCGUCAAACCUGAUAUAUGUAAAUGUAAACCUUGUGAAUGCACUGACUGUUUAAGCUUUUUAGAAAGAAAUGACUUUAAUACGUCAUCGAGUGGAAGUAGUAAAUGUACAUGUGACGGGUGCAACAAAAGCCUAUGUCCAGUGGCGAUGAAUAAACUAGAAAUAUGUGACUGUUCUCCAUGCAACUGUGUAGAUUGCGCAAGAGGUUUUACAAAAUCUUGCGAUUGUGAACCAUGUCAAUGUGUAGUUUGUAAAGCUAGAACUAUUCCCCAACGUCAAACCUUGGUGGUCGCACCUGUUGGCAGGGAACAAAACGUACAGCGUAUAGCUUGCACUUGUUCACCAUGCGACUGCAUCGAAUGCGGCCAAGUUCAUCGUUUAACUUCAAGUGUGAUGCAUGAAAUGUCUACUGGAACCAACCGUCAUGCUUUGUGCAGAUGUGAAAUCUGCCUCGAUGACGCUUGCGAUCAAAGCGGAGUCGAUUCUUGUAAAUGUCAAAAACGUAACAAAGUUAUGAAUAAACCAGUCGAAAAAGAUACACACGAUUUUGAUAUCAGGGUCGCUACUAUAGUGCAGAAACCUAUGGCACAACAGAAUAACAGAAAAGGAAAGAGUCACGAUACCAUAGCCAUGUUUGCAGCAGUACCCAAUACGUAUCCUGAUUUGCAAAGCAGCAUUCAAGAAUGCACCUGCGAGGAGGGGUGUGAAUGUAUUUCUUGUGUCUACAAAGAACAUGCUAUUAAUUCAAUUAAAUCUUCACAACUAUUUACAUCCAUAGAAACGGGAGCAAAAUCAAGUAUUUCUGAAAAUAGAACAUUUUCAAGUUAUCAUUGUCAACUAUGUAAAACACAGAUGGACGAUAGGUCUAGUUUAAAUGUUCCAGUUCACAUGGCAGCGACGUCAAAAUGUAUGUCUGAGUGUUGUGAUUGUAUAGAUUGUGGAAAAAAUGAAUCAAGAUCACCGCAACGUUCACUUACCAUACCUUAUAAUCGUAUAGGUCACGAACAAUCAAUGUCUAAGAAUAAUGCGAAGGCUUCACAUGAGAUUAAUUUGCAAAAUAAUGAGAUUUCCGAUAGUGUUCUAUCUGGUUAUUCAUCAAUAGAAACAUCUUCAAAAAUAUCUUGUCACAAAGGUUAUGGCAUGAUUACACAAAAUUCUAGAAAUAAAAGCAAGUCCUGGGAAAGUUCUUGCAAUAGCUCAGGUCACGAUUAUCCAGAGUAUUUAAUACAAUUUCCAAAAUCUACCGUAGAACAUUGCCUAAAAGAUGUAAUGGAGUCAGAUAUGGAUAAAAAUGUUAAACUUGGCCAAUUCAAUACAAAUUCAAAUGUAACUGAAGAACAAACAGAGUUGAACUCAUUUGAUACUUCUUUAGCAAAAGAAAAUUAUUUUCUUGAAUGUGGUAUAACAGAUUCACAUAAUUCAGAAUAUAUUUGUAGAACUAAGAAUAACUGCGAUGUAUCCUGCCUUCCUGAUUCUCCGCAAUAUGCACUCCAUACAAAUGCCAAGGGCAGUAACACGCUCGACUCUAACCAACAUUUAGUUUUGCAAGUCAAUAAUCGUCAAUGCUCACAUAAACCCGAAACAAACGAAUGUCACGAAAGUAACGUUAAACAAACAAAAGACAUAAAUGAAUUGCAAGCCUCUUGUUAUAUUCUAGAUAGAAGAUCUUCUUGUAAUAACAAUGAUGAAAGUAUUUAUGUUGGAAACCGUACAAUUUUCAAUCCAAUGUCUAAUGAUAAUGAAUUUCAUGCUUCAGAUAAGGUUUUUGAUCAUAAUAUCGCCGAUGAUAACACCACCAACGUUUUACUUCCCAUACAUAAUGAACAAUAUUGCACUAGAAAGUAUUUAGAACAAUUACCACAAUCAUGCCUUGUCAGUGCUGCAAAUGGUUUAAGUUUCGAGGAUUACGAAAGAAUCCGAAAAACUCUCAAAGAAGCUAAAGAGUUUACCAGAGAGUUAAUAAAACUAUUAAAAAUGUACGAAAAAGCAAACAACGAUUUUGAUAGUGUAUCUGAAAAGCUGAAAAUAUCCCAUGCAUCUCUAUUAAGUGGUGACAUAAACGCAAUUCGUGGCGCCAGAAAAGAUGUCGUGGAAGACUGUAUUGUCAGCGAAGAAGAAUACAAUAAAAUGAACCACGAGCUUCAAGGAGGUCAUUUACAAGCUCCUCCUGUAAGGGAAAUAUUAAGUUCCUCGUCUAUUAUACAUAUGAAAAGAAACAUUUCGGAUUCAGUGUAUGGUGAUCAUGAUAAUGACAAUAUGUCUCAAAAAUCAAUCAUUAAAGAUAUUUCUAAUUUUCAGAAAAUGAAUGAAUCCAUAGCUCUAGAUCCGUCUCAUGAUUUUAAUUCUGUUUUAGAAACAAAUGAAUUAGUACAAAUCGAUACACAUUUAAACAAGGACGAGGUUUGUUGUGAAAGCGCAGUUAAUGUAAAAUUGAUUGAGGAACAUUUGGAGAUAAUCCAAAAUGUCCAGAACACAACAUGCAAGCCCCUAGAGAAGGAUUCAUUUCAUGCUUCAGAGGAAAACACUGCAGUCUGCACUGUAAAUAAUCGAGGAUUUAGAAAAAAAUAUCGAACACACAUUAGAAACUAUAAAAAAUAUACCAAACUUUUAAGAUACAUUCUUACAAUAUCGAGAAAAAUUUGUGACAUUAGUUCAAAUGCUAGUGAAUUGACGCCGGUAACAAAGUAUCAUGUCACUGUGGGAACAUCCUCAACUGUUGUCGCAGAGUCGAUUCAAAAAAUGAAUAAUGAACUAAGUACUUUAUUACCGAUCAAAGACUCUCAAGAACUACAUACUUUACGAAGACAAGGAAAUGGACUUAAUCAAAUUUUGAAAAAACUCGAGACCGUAUUCCGGAAUUUUGAAAAAGAUGCAGUGUCUUUAAAAACUAGCGUUCUUGGGAAGAGCUUGGAAGAAUAUAAAAUGGAAAUCGGUUCCAUAAGACAUGAACUCGAAGAAACAGAUACCUGUCCAAUUUUAAAGACAAAAUCUAGCUGGAACAUCGAACCUCGUAAGAAUAGUAAAGAUUUGUGUAUAAUUCCAUCGAUGGAGCUUGAUCUAAAGAAAAUGGUUCAUUCAAUACCACAACAGAAGGUUGUCUCCAAAAAACGAUUGAAUGUGCCCCAUCAUAAGAAUAAAGCUUUAGUAAGUUUACAUUCACUUUAAGAGCAACGAUUGUGAAAAUGUGUCUUCAGAAUUUGAAACCUAGGUAAAGUUGGUGAGUCAGGGAAUCUAGAAGCGUCUGCAUUCUUCGACACUGUUUCCACGCGCGGCUGACCUGCAAGAAGAAGUGAAGAAGCUAUUGGAAAUGCCAAGUUUGCAACCGCAGGAACCCAUUCAUUACACUACAGACUGUGUAAAAGAAAACCUUAUUAAGAAACAAAGG